UCAGUUAGGAUGUGAAUACAUGAAAUAUUCAUCUCAGGACCUUCUAGAAGAAUGAGCUGGGACCCACUUUCCGAGUCCUGCUGGAACCAAAGACCGAGGCUCAGUCAUUUCCACACUAGAGGGAGGGUGUCCUGUGCAAACACCGAGCAGCUUAGAGCAAGGAUCAACAGCAAGAGUGUUAUCCAGCAGGAUCCAGGAAGGUACCUUAAUGGAUAACCAAGUAUGGCGGUCAACAGAGUGUUACCAUAGAUACUACAGGCAGUCAGCUCAGGUGGAGAGCUUGUACCUGUCAUUCACUGAAGUACUCCCAGAACUGUGCCUGGCACAUGUCCACCUGUUGAGUGAAUCACAGGGUAUCCUGUCUUCCCAUCAAUAAGCCAAGAUUUGCAGGGGACACCAGAAACAUCUUUCAACAAAGGGGACAGGAGAAGAGCUGGCUCUUAAAAUAAAUGCAACAUCUGGCUGACCAGGGAGAAGGGAAAUGGCACUUCCAGAAGAGGAAACUGGAUGAGCAAAGAGGAGGGAUCCGAAAGCCAUCAGGACAGGGGCACAAGGCCAGACUACACUGAAGCUUCAUGAGCGGCACCCAGAGGGGGACGAUGCUGGGCAAAGAGGAGAAGGGCCAUGCUCCCGGAGAAAGGGACGGAUUAGAGAAACCAGGAAGAGGUGCUUGACACCCACUGUGGAUCUGGGGCGGGGGGGGGGGGCACAGU